rnacentral:lncRNA from 1 species
GUUCAUUUGUGUUGCAUGAAUUAUUGCGCUUCCUAUUAGCAAGAAUGUGAAAGCAACAUGCAUCUAUUGCGAUAACAGUUAUACGGACACUCCAAGGGCAUUUUACCAUCGACAUCGCCGUGAUGCUCCGUAUAAACUUCAAGAACGAUAACACCGUCGCCGCACGUCACGUGCUGCGUGUUCGAGUGAAAGCGUGCAAAAUUGACCUGCGAUCCUUAGCUCCCUUCACAUUACUUCACUUGUACGUAGAGUGCAAGGGGAGCCCAUGAUCGCGGUUCAACCUAACACACGCAAGGAGGAAAGUGGCAGGAAGUGCGCCGUCUUCCGUCGACGCUAGGUUUCAGAGAGAGGGGAGGGAGUGGGGGGAGGCGUUGUACUGCGCAUUCUGCAGCCGCGCUUGCCAUAUCUUGCCAGCGAUCUGCGUUGCGGGCAGUCUAGGUGCUUCGACGGCUCAUGCCUUCGUAGGUGCUGCGUUCUCGCCGCUCCGUUUUGGUCACUUCACUAGCUGCAGCUGUUGCGCUUCCUCACUCCAUCGUUUUGACAGUGGGUGUCCGCGCUUAUCUAGUGUGAUGCGUUCAUGUUUGCCUGUGUGCGCUGAAAACACACUUGUUACUUUGGUUAGUAAGCGAAUGCUUGUAACUUUACACGGCCAAUAAAACUACUAUUCUUGCUUUGUA